rnacentral:SRP_RNA from 1 species
GCCAGGCAUGGUCGUGGGUGCCUGUAAUCCCAGCUACUUGGGAGGCUGAGGCAGGAGAAUUGCUUGAACCCAGGAGAUGGAAGUUGCAGUGAGCCAACACUGUGCCACUGCACUCCAGCCUGGGUGACAGAGUGAGACUCUGUCUCAA